CACGUAGGGUGCGAGCGUUGUCCGGAAUUAUUGGGCGUAAAGAGCUCGUAGGCGGUGUGUCGCGUCGGCCGUGAAAACCUGCAGCUUAACUGUGGGCGUGCGGUCGAUACGGGCAUCACUGGAGUUCGGCAGGGGAGACUGGAAUUCCUGGUGUAGCGGUGAAAUGCGCAGAUAUCAGGAGGAACACCGUGGCGAAGGCGGGUCUCUGG
rnacentral:rRNA from 1 species